rnacentral:misc_RNA from 1 species
GAUGAAGAACGUAGCGAAAUGCGAUAAGUAGUGUGAAUUGCAGAAUUCAGUGAAUCAUCGAACCUUUGAACGCACAUUGCGCCCCUUGGUAUUCCAUGGGGCAUGCCUGUUCGAGCGUCAUUUGUACCUUCAAGCUCUGCUUGGUGUUGGGUGUUUGUCUCGCCUCUGCGUGUAGACUCGCCUUAAAACAAUUGGCAGCCGGCGUAUUGAUUUCGGAGCGCAGUACAUCUCGCGCUUUGCACUCAUAACGACGACGUCCAAAAGUACAUUUUUACACUCUUGACCUCGGAUCAGGUAGGGAUACCCGCUGAACUUAAGCAUAUCAAUAAGCGGAGGA